UACGGAGGGUGCAAGCGUUGUCCGGAAUCACUGGGCGUAAAGGGCGCGUAGGCGGCUCGGUAAGUAGGGGGUGAAAUCCUGCGGCUUAACCGCAGGGCUGCCUUCUAAACUGUCGAGCUUGAGCACGGUAGAGGCAGAUGGAAUUCCCGGUGUAGCGGUGGAAUGCGUAGAUAUCUGGAGGAACACCGGUGGCGAAGGCGGCAUCCUGGACCGACACUGACGCUGAGGAGCGAAAGCCAGGGGAGCAAACGGG
rnacentral:rRNA from 1 species